rnacentral:tRNA from 1 species
GGGCGGUUAGCUCAGUUGGUACGAGCGCCACUAUGACACAGUGGAGGCCACAGGUUCGAUCCCUGUAUCGCCCA